rnacentral:rRNA from 1 species
UAGGGAAACUUACGCUAAUACCGCAUACGACCUACGGGUGAAAGCAGGGGAUCUUCGGACCUUGCGCGAUUGAAUGAGCCGAUGUCGGAUUAGCUAGUUGGCGGGGUAAAGGCCCACCAAGGCGACGAUCCGUAGCUGGUCUGAGAGGAUGAUCAGCCACACUGGAACUGAGACACGGUCCAGACUCCUACGGGAGGCAGCAGUGGGGAAUAUUGGACAAUGGGCGCAAGCCUGAUCCAGCCAUACCGCGUGGGUGAAGAAGGCCUUCGGGUUGUAAAGCCCUUUUGUUGGGAAAGAAAUCCAGCUGGCUAAUACCCGGUUGGGAUGACGGUACCCAAAGAAUAAGCACCGGCUAACUUCGUGCCAGCAGCCGCGGUAAUACGAAGGGUGCAAGCGUUACUCGGAAUUACUGGGCGUAAAGCGUGCGUAGGUGGUCGUUUAAGUCCGUUGUGAAAGCCCUGGGCUCAACCUGGGAACUGCAGUGGAUACUGGGCGACUAGAGUGUGGUAGAGGGUAGCGGAAUUCCUGGUGUAGCAGUGAAAUGCGUAGAGAUCAGGAGGAACAUCCAUGGCGAAGGCAGCUACCUGGACCAACAC